CGGAGAGUUUGGAGUUGGAGGGCAGGGAAGGGAGCAGGGCCUGGGGGAGGGGGAGACAGAGGGGUGUUGGUGGGUGCUAUAUCUGGGAGUAAGUUUCCAAGAACGAGAGAGCCUGCACGCUUGCUUGCUAGCUACUCGGCUCGCCCCCCAUCUCACCCCCCAAGUGGAGAUUGGUCGUCUGGUCGGAUUGCCCAGGCACUUGUUGCCGAAACAGCCAAGACCUAGGUCUCUUCUCCCCACCUGCCCAGCAGCAUGAGAGCAGCAUGACUGGCCAGCCGCAGGAGAAGCCCCCAGAGCCAGGCCCCCGACCCAGCCGCCCGUUACCGAGGUCAAGGUGUGAAAAACGUUUCCCCACCUUCGUGGUGUCUGGUCCGUACCUCAGCCCGAGUGAGGAUGUAGACACCUCGACUCUGCACAUGUGUGGUUCAAGCCAACGGGAACCCCUGCCUCCGGCCACCCUCACAGACAUGUCAGCUGUGGAGUAGGGUGGACACUUCCGCUCAUCUUCUCAGGGUUUCAGGAUUUUUGGAUUUCCUUCAUUCCCUCUUUUUUUUUUUUUUUUUUUUUUCUUUU